CCCGAGUUGUAAUUUGCAGAGGAAGCUUCUGGCGAAGUGCUGUCCGAGUCCCCUGGAACGGGGCGCCGCAGAGGGUGAGAGCCCCGUACGGAUAGAUGCUAAGCCUGUGUGAAGCUCCUUCGACGAGUCGAGUAGUUUGGGAAUGCUGCUCAAAAUGGGAGGUAAAUUCCUUCUAAAGCUAAAUAUUGGCCAGAGACCGAUAGCGCACAAGUAGAGUGAUCGAAAGAUGAAAAGCACUUUGAAAAGAGGGUUAAACAGCACGUGAAAUUGUUGAAAGGGAAGCGCUCAUGACCAGACGUGCGUCUGGCUGAUCAUCCGGUGUUCUCACCGGUGCACUAUGCCUGACGCAGGCCAGCAUCGGUUUUGGCGGGGGGAUAAAGGUCUAGGGAACGUGACUCCCCCGGGAGUGUAUAGCCCUAGGCGCAAUGCCCC
rnacentral:rRNA from 1 species